UGGACCGUGUAGUAGCCUCGCCGCUGCUCUUCUUCUUUAUUACUUCUUAAGACGUCAACGCGAAAAAUUAAAAAAGUGUGUGUGUUGCAAAUCAACGUUAAUUGAAAAUGCAGAAUCACCCAUUCCCAGGCCCAGAUCUGAGGGGGGAGUGGGGGGAGGACGACUCUCUACUAGAAGACUGGUGGUUGGGUCAGGUGGAGAAGGGUUGGGGUAAAAUCCCCGACUAUUAUGAGGUGAUCAGUCAUCUCGAGAUACGAGAUGUAUAGAUUAUAUUUUAAACAAAGUUGUAAACGCUCGAAGAGAAUUCCUAAAACGCUUCUGCUGUCUGAUGUGAUACUAUGGAUUAUUGCUUGCGCUACACUAGAAUCUUUUUUUUUCCCCAACACUCUGAAAUUGAGGGAGUGAAAAACCUUCUGUUACUAUCUAUGCCUUAAGACAUGUGAAUAUUUACUCUUUUCAUUAUUUUGAAAUUAUCUGUGUUUGAAAUUAUCUAUUGACUAAAGAAGGAAAAUCGAAUAUAUAUAUUCUAUAUA